GACAGAGGGUGCAAACGUUGUUCGGAAUUACUGGGCGUAAAGCGCGUGUAGGCGGCUCGGAAAGUCGGAUGUGAAAACCACGGGCUUAACUCGUGGCCUGCAGUUGAGACUGUCUGGCUUGAGUGUGGGAGAGGAGAGUGGAAUUCCUGGUGUAGCGGUGAAAUGCGUAGAUAUCCGGAGGAACACCGGUGGCGAAGGCGGCUUCCUGGACCGACACUGACGCUGAGGCGCGAAAGCUAGGGGAGCAAACGGG
rnacentral:rRNA from 1 species